GGGAUUUCGCCCAGUUAUUGGGGUUUGGUCUCACGACUGAAAAUCGUGGUGUCCCCGGUUCGAGUCCGGGUCUCGCCA
rnacentral:tRNA from 1 species